rnacentral:rRNA from 1 species
CCCGACUGCUAUUUGGGUGAGAAUAAGCCAUGCGAGUUGAAUGGGAUACCUAAAGUUCCCAUAGCGAACUGCUCAGUAACACAUGAUCAACUUACCCUAUAGAGAAAAAUAACCUCGGGAAACUGAGGAUAAUGUUUCAUAAUUGAAUUGGCUUGGAAAAGUUUUUCAAUGAAAAGGAUAAAAAAAAUGGUUUUUAUCUGCUAUAGGAUAGGAUCGUGUUCGAUUAUGGUUGUUGGUGAGAUAAUGGCUCACCAAGCCGAUAAUCGAUAGGGGCCGUGAGAGCGGGAGCCCCGAGAUGGGUACUGAGACAACGACCCAGGCCUUACGAGGCGCAGCAGGCGCGGAACCUCCGCAAUACACGAAAGUGUGACGGGGUUACCCAAAGUGUUCAAUUUGAACUGUGGUAGGUGAGUAAUGUCCCCUACUAGAAAGGAGAGGGCAAGGCUGGUGCCAGCCGCCGCGGUAAAACCAGCUCUUCAAGUGGUCGGGAUAAUAUUGGGCUUAAAGUGUCCGUAGCCGGUUUAGUAAGUUCCUGGUAAAAUCGGGUAGCUUAACUAUCUGCAUGCUAGGAAUACUGCUAUACUAGAGGGCGGGAGAGGUCUGAGGUACUGCAGGGGUAGGGGUGAAAUCUUAUAAUCCUUGUAGGACCACCAGUGGCGAAGGCGUCAGACUGGGAACGCGCCUGACGGUGAGGGACGAAAGCCAGGGGAGCGAACCGGAUUAGAUACCCGGGUAGUCCUGGCCGUAAACGAUGCAUACUAGGUGAUGGUACGGCCAUGAGCCGUAUCAGUGCCGUAGGGAAACCGUUAAGUGUGCCGCCUGGGAAGUACGGUCGCAAGGCUAAAACUUAAAGGAAUUGGCGGGGGAGCACCACAAGGGGUGAAGCCUGCGGUUCA